rnacentral:rRNA from 1 species
AACGAACGCUGGCGGCAUGCCUAACACAUGCAAGUCGAACGAGACCUUCGGGUCUAGGGGCGCACGGGUGCGUAACGCGUGGGAACCUGCCUUUAGGUUCGGAAUAACUCAGAGAAAUUUGAGCUAAUACCGGAUGAUGUCUUCGGACCAAAGAUUUAUCGCCUUUAGAUGGGCCCGCGUUGGAUUAGCUGGUUGGUGGGGUAAAGGCCUACCAAGGCGACGAUCCAUAGCUGGUCUGCGAGGAUGAUCAGCCACACUGGGACUGAGACACGGCCCAGACUCCUACGGGAGGCAGCAGUGGGGAAUAUUGGACAGUGGGCGAGAGCCUGCUCCAGCAAUGCCGCGUGAGUGAUGAAGGCCUUAGGGUUGUAAAGCUCUUUUACCCGAGAUGAUAAUGACAGUAUCGGGAGAAUAAGCUCCGGCUAACUCCGUG